rnacentral:lncRNA from 1 species
GUUACAACUCAUUAUAAUAAGUCAAAAAUCAAAAGUUGAAUUGUCAAAGUCAAAGUCAAAAGGGACUAAAAUGAAAUAAUUCAUUUUAAUUGGGACUUAAUUUAUCGUGACGAAUAUUUUGAAGGUUUAAGUUGGACAAAAUAAAAAUUUUGGGAUCUACUUAUAUAUUUUGGAAGUUUAGGAUUUAACUUUAUAUUAUAUUAUAGAAGAGGGACUUCCUUUGCAAUUUAAGUUACUGGCCCCUUUAUUUUAUUACCAUUAAACCCAUUUUACACUAAAAACACACACAU